rnacentral:rRNA from 1 species
UACGGAGGAUGCAAGCGUUAUCCGGAUUUAUUGGGUUUAAAGGGUGCGCAGGUUGUUUGAUAAGUCAGUGGUGAAAGUCUGUCGCUUAACGGUAGGAUUGCCAUUGAUACUGUUAGACUUGAAUAUGGAUGAGGUAGGCGGAAUGUGUAGUGUAGCGGUGAAAUGCAUAGAUAUUACACAGAACACCGAUUGCGAAGGCAGCUUACUAAUCCAUCAUUUACGCUGAGGCACGAAAGCGUGGGGAUCAAACAGGA